UAGUUAGCAGGGAGUUUCUGCAAAAUAAUGUCGGGUGUUUUUGUUUUGUUUUUGUUUUGUUUUUUUUUUUUUAAAAACUGGAUUAUACUGAUAAAGCAUUUCUGGAACUACGGAACAGAAUGAAGUCCUGGGCAAGGCUGAAUGUGGAGCUGAGUGUUUGGGGAGUAGGUACCGCAGGAAGCCAGGAGAGCCGGUCUGACCUGCACGGCCUUCAUUCCAGUCUGUCAGUGAAUAGGGCUUGUAUGAACAGUGCCCUAAGCUCUCAGUAUAAAAACACUGCACUGUCACACACUUUGCUCAUCGGGAGGUGAAGACACUGCGAGGAAAGUUCUCCUUUCGCGGUCAGGUUGACUCUUUUCUUUCUUUUAAACAUGCUUUUUCUCUCACCAAGGAACUGAAACGCACUGGGAUGAAGUCGGACUCCAGCAGCCUACGGUAAGACGACUGCUCCGUGCUAAAAAAACAAACAAACAAAAAAAAAAACGCAUACUAUCUUACCUAAUAGUUUGUCGAAACAUAAUACACCACCUUCUGUGUCGUAUAUUCGACCUACUCAUUAGUAGACUAGUAUGCGGUUUUGGACGUAGCCCAAGCUUGAAGAUGGCCACCACGCGCACCUUCACUACCCGGAAGCGAUGGAGCUGAUGUGGUCUGUCUGGUGCAGUGGUUCUUAACAGUUCAACAGUUCUAUACAAAAAUUGUGAAAUGUUUAGGACCACUUGACCAGGCAGACGUUUUCUUUGGUACUGGAAGAAAAAAAGCAGGAAGAAGGAGCUCCUCCCUCUGUUUAUACUUCAUGAAGCUGUUGCUAUAGAUAUGCAAGUUAAUGCUGUAGCCUGUGUAGUCUAUAGACACCUAUAGAUCAUUUCAUUAAGCUCCCAACCGGUGAUGGAGGAACAUCAUAAAUAGUAGUUUAACAGUGUUUUAAAGUCUUUCCCCAAACUAAUGGGGGUAAUGAGAUUUUAAUGAGAUGUUUCAAUGUGAUAAAUGUAUUAUUAUUAUUAUUAUUGCAAUAAAAUCUUUCAUGCAGAAAACAGAAUGUGCACAGUGUUCUCUCAUGUUUGUUUCCCUCCAUAUUAACCAACUUUCUUUCUUUCUCUUUCUCGUUCUCCCCUCUGUGUUCCAGAACAACACAAACCUCCGUUGCAAUUAAGAUAUUAUAUAUAUAUAUAUAUAUAAAUAUAUAUAUAUAUAUGAAAGAAGGGCUUUUAGGUCUCCGUCUACAGCAGUGGACUUCAAUCUUGUCCUCAAAGUGUCGGUGUGUCAGCAGGUUUUCAUUCCAGCUAAGCAGGAACACAACUGAGCACACUUGUUUAAUCUAUUGAUCUCGAUCUUCAAACAACUGUUAGGUGUGGCCCCUGAAAUGAAAACCGUAAUGAAAACCUUCAGACAUACCGACACUUUGCGGGUAAGAUUGAAAACCUCUGCCCUACGUGUUGAUCACUGCUUCUUCUUCUUCUUCUUCUUCUUCUUUUCAUAAAGAAUCAGAAUAAAGUGGACGGACACUUUCCGGGUGAGUUUUGAGCUGAGUUGGCGCUCUCCGUGGUGCUGAAGAUUGUCUCCGGGAGUCAGAACACAUUUCUACUCCAUUUAUCCACCCUGAAGACGUCUUGCACUUUGCCCAGAUGAUUUAAGGGCCCAACCUUACAAGCGUCUAAGCGUGACAAAUGCACAACAAGCGAGGGCAAGUGCUGAACGAAAACUCAAGCAAAUCAAUAAGUGCAAUUAUUACGUUAAAUCCUUACAUCAACCCUCAUUAGUUCAUGACAAGUAAAAAAAAUAUAUCAGUACAGCAAACAGUGAGUGAAGAAGCCCAUGCAAACAUCACCUUGUAGUGCACAAACUUCUUCAUUAUACAAUAUACAGUUUGCGAGCUACUAGGAAACAAAUCCAGCGGAUUAUCUGGUUCUUAUGCACAAGAGACAGGAACAAGAUGGAGAAGACUAAAGAGACUCAUGAAUUGUAAAUAAGGUCCGAAAUUCAAAUAGGCUAAUAUUGAUUUGUGUCAAGCGAAAAUGAGAAAAUAGCAAGUGUCGCAUUACAUCCGUUAAUCAGGCCUCAAACCUCAGUGGAAAAUAUAUAGCUAUAGAAUAAUUUAGGAACCAGCAUUCAAAAGUGGUUUUCAUGGUUUCAUAAUACAUAAUCUAUAAUCCCAUGUUAAUAAACCCGCUAAGAACCCAUGUUACAGAGCGCAACUUCAGCUGCUUUCUUUUAAAAAUCUGUAAAUGUUAAAAAACUUUAAACCACCUCCUUAACACAAUCUCACUAAAUGUCACAAUAUCACUACACUCACAUUUGCUUUAGAGUGUCUUUAAUAAAUUAUUCAUAAACCCAAGAUUGCAAGUUGCUUUCUUUAUCUGAGUAAGGCGCUUG
ensembl:lncRNA